CCUCUCUCGGCGUGGCGGGGUCCGAGCCGCCGCCCGCCGCGGGCAGCAGCGCCGUGAGGUGCUGCCCCGUUCCCGGGCCCUGCCGUUACCUGGGAGAGCCGGGGCUAUUUUUAACCUGGAUGUGUUCUGUGAUAUGUUUCCCACACAGCACAGAAACUGGCAUAGCUGAGGGGCUGGCGGCUUUGAAAAAAAUCACAGCUCCAUUGUGCUCCAGAGUCAUGCUGAAUGAUUCAGAUGGAAAGAAAAACCCACGUCAGAAGGAACAGGGGACUCAAAGACGAGUGUUGAGGCCAGCAGACCAGGAACAUCGAUCCCAGGCAGCAGCACAUCCUGAGAAUGUUGCACUCUGUGACAGCAGCAACAUUAUGGUUUAUCCCUCUGUGCCAUGGGUCUGUGGAAGACAAGUGCUGCUCCUGGUAUUGGGGGUGUCCUUGAGCACACCCACAGGACUGGCAUCGAUUGCCUGGGAGUGCUGGAGCAGCAGGAAAACGCGCCUGUCCUACCUGGAGGCCACAGAUCCAGCCUCCAGCAGCUGGGGAGGUGAACUGACUCCUUCCUCCUGGAGCAGGGCUGCCAGCAGCGGAGGUCAGACAGGGCAGGAGGAAGGGACAGGGUCACCAGCGGCAGAGGCAGGGAGGCAGAGCCCGGGGGCUCCUGUGCGGAAGCAGAGCAUGCAAUGA
rnacentral:lncRNA from 1 species